CUCAAUUGAGCAAUCCCAUCCCCGUGCCUCCAGUUCCUUUUGAGGCAUGAUCGUACAGAGCAAGUCCCGACCAAGCCAUGGAGUUUCAAAUAGGGACAUUCUAGAAGUUUCUAUCCUCUCAGGCAAGGUGAAUGAUGGGGAUGGUGGAGCACGAUCUGAAAGUUUAAAUUAUUGCUCUGAUGUCCGAGCUGGUCUUGCUAAUGUUGGAGAGGCAGGUGAAGAACUUGCCCUAGGAUGGAGGGCCUUCCUGACUUAAGAAGGAUAGGCCGCAUCGAUUUUAGACCAAUGUGAGGAUUUGGAUCUCAAGUUGAUAUCAGAGGUAGGAGGAGGAGGAUUCGCCACCAGAGUGGCUGUUGGAGAGGGUUGAGAAACCAGUCUCAGCUCUAAAGAACCUAGCCCUUUAUUCCUUGUAGUUGUAGGUUCAUUGCUUGGACCUUGCUUCCUCUUCUUCAACUCCAUCAUCCUUUUUAGAUCGAACCUCAU
rnacentral:lncRNA from 1 species